rnacentral:lncRNA from 1 species
UUUUUCCCCUCAAAUAUUCCCAAUUUUUUCCCCAAUUUUUUCCCUACAACCAUUCCUGAUUUUUUCCCUCAACCAUUCCCAAUUUUUUCCCCUCAACCAUUCCCAAUUUUUUCCCUCAAAAAUUCCCAUUUUAUCCAAGUGUUUCCCCUCAACCAUUCCCAAUUUUUUUCCCUCAACCAAUCCCAGUUUCUACCCUCAAAAAUUCCCAAUUUUUCUGAGUUUUUCCCCUCAAACAUUCCCAAGUUUUUCCCUCAAAAAUUCCCAAUAUUUCCUCUCAAAAAUUCCCAAUUUUUCUCCCCAACCACUCUCAAUUUUCCCUCAAAAUUCCCAAUUUUUUCCCUCAAAAAUUCCCAGUUUUUCCGAGUUUUUCCCUGAGCCAUUCCUGGCUUUUCCCUCAAAUAUUCCCAAUUUUUUUUCCAAUGUUUUUCCCCUCAACCAUUCUCAAUUUUCCCUCAAAAUCCACAAUUUUUUCCUUUAAAAAUUCCCAAUUUUUUUCCCUCAAAAAUUCCCAGUUUUUCCGAUUUUUUCCCUCAGCCAUUCCUGGCUUUUUCCCUCAAAUAUUCCCAUUUUUUUUUCCAAGUUUUUCCCCUCAACCAUUCCUGAUUUUUUCCCUCAACCAUUCCCAAUUUUCCUUCAAAAAUUCCCAAUUUUUCCCCUUCAAUAAUUCCUGGUUUUCUCUCAAAAAUUCCUGAUUUUUCCCUCAUCGAUUCCCAGAUUUUUUCCCCUCAAAAAUUCCCCUUUUUUCCAAGUUUUUCCCCACAACCAUUCCAAAUUUUUCCAUCAAAAUUUCCCAAUUUUUUUCCUCAGCCAUUCCCGAUUUUCCCUCAAAAAUCCCUGAUUUUUUUCCCCUCAAAAUUCCCUAAUUUUUUCCCUCUAAAUUCCCAAUUUUUUCCUGAUUUUUCCUCCAAAUCCUUGGAAUAAGGAGCCCAGAGCUGAUCCCAAAAUUCCCAAAAUUUUUUAAAUUCCCAGAAUUCCCAAAAUUCCCGAUGAUUCCUUGAGGACCAGGCUGGAAUUGGCCCCAAAAUUCCACAAAUUUUUCCUUUUUCUGGAAUUUCCUGGAACUUUCCAGAACCUUUGGAUGUCGCGGAGGGAAAUUUGGGUUUAAAUUAAUUUAAUUGAAAUUUUAAUUAAUUUAAAAUUGGGUUUUAAUGAAUUCGUUUAAUUCAUUGAUGAAUUUAAAUGAGUUUAAUUACAUUAAUUAAAUUAAAUGAAUCUAAUUGGGGUAAUUAAUGGGAAAUUUGGCCUAAAUUAAAUUAAAUUAAAUUAAAUUAAAUUAAAUUAAUCAGUGCUGGGAAAUUCCUUGAAGAUCCAGAAGGAUCUUUUUGGAUUUCCAAAAACCA